rnacentral:rRNA from 1 species
UACAGAGGUCCCGAGCGUUGUUCGGAUUCACUGGGCGUAAAGGGUGCGUAGGUGGUGAGGUAAGUCGGAUGUGAAAUCUCCAGGCUCAACCUGGAAACUGCAUUGGAAACUACCUUGCUGGAGGAUUUGAGGGGGGAUUGGAAUACUUGGUGUAGCAGUGAAAUGCGUAGAUAUCGAGAGGAACACCUGCGGCGAAGGCGGGUAGCUGGGCCGACACUGACGCUGAGGCGCGAAAGCCAGGGGAGCGAACGGG